UACGUAGGGUGCGAGCGUUAAUCGGAAUUACUGGGCGUAAAGCGUGCGCAGGCGGUUUUGUAAGACAGAUGUGAAAUCCCCGGGCUUAACCUGGGAACUGCAUUUGUGACUGCAAGACUAGAGUGCGGCAGAGGGGGGUAGAAUUCCACGUGUAGCAGUGAAAUGCGUAGAUAUGUGGAGGAAUACCGAUGGCGAAGGCAGCCCCCUGGGUCGGCACUGACGCUCAUGCACGAAAGCGUGGGGAGCAAACAGG
rnacentral:rRNA from 1 species